UCGUGGCUUGAGCCGUCUGUUUUAUUACGAUAACGAACGAGACCUUUUCGGUUAGUGUGUUUGCGCUUAGGCCUUGUGCGUAGGUUUGCCUCUUCUUCGGAGGGGGCUGCAAAUGUCUAGCCAGACUUGCGCAGCAAUGCGUAGGAAGACGAAGGCAAUAACA
rnacentral:rRNA from 1 species